GCGGAAGUGGUGGAACUGGUAGACACGCUACCUUGAGGUGGUAGUGGAAGUAAAAUUCCUUGGGGGUUCGAGUCCCCCCUUUCGCA
rnacentral:tRNA from 2 species